rnacentral:ncRNA from 2 species
GAAGAAGCGUUGAUGAAGAGGAGUAGCUUAUAUCGCUUUAUUAAGAGAGCUAGUGGUUGGUGUGAACUAGUAUAAAGCAUAAAGUGAAUGGACUUCUGAGCUUUCAAACCGAACCCUUUGACUAAAGGUAGUAGGCUUUGACGAUGUCGUCUCAUCGUUAUCUGAGACAACUAUUCGAGUGUGUACUCGGAUAGUAAAGUGAGCGUUUAGCUAACUAAGGUGGUACCACGGGUUUCCUCGUCCUUAUA